CGAGCGGGUGAGUAAUACAUAGGUAACCUACCCUUAAGACGAGGAUAGCCAUUGGAAACGAUGGAUAAAACUGGAUAGGAUAUAGAGGAAGAAUCUUUUAUAUUUAAAAGAGAGAUCUGCUUAAGGAGGGGCCUGUGGCGCAUUAGCUAGUUGGUGGGGUAAGGGCCUACCAAGGCGAUGAUGCGUAGCCGGACUGAGAGGUUGAACGGCCACAAUGGAACUGAGAACGGUCCAUACUCCUACGGGAGGCAGCAG
rnacentral:rRNA from 1 species